rnacentral:rRNA from 1 species
AAAUUGAAGAGUUUGAUCAUGGCUCAGAUUGAACGCUGGCGGCAGGCCUAACACAUGCAAGUCGAACGGUAGCACAGAGAGCUUGCUCUCGGGUGACGAGUGGCGGACGGGUGAGUAAUGUCUGGGAAACUGCCCGAUGGAGGGGGAUAACUACUGGAAACGGUAGCUAAUACCGCAUAACGUCGCAAGACCAAAGUGGGGGACCUUCGGGCCUCACACCAUCGGAUGUGCCCAGAUGGGAUUAGCUAGUAGGUGGGGUAACGGCUCACCUAGGCGACGAUCCCUAGCUGGUCUGAGAGGAUGACCAGCCACACUGGAACUGAGACACGGUCCAGACUCCUACGGGAGGCAGCAGUGGGGAAUAUUGCACAAUGGGCGCAAGCCUGAUGCAGCCAUGCCGCGUGUAUGAAGAAGGCCUUCGGGUUGUAAAGUACUUUCAGCGAGGAGGAAGGCGUUGUGGUUAAUAACCACAGCGAUUGACGUUACUCGCAGAAGAAGCACCGGCUAACUCCGUGCCAGCAGCCGCGGUAAUACGGAGGGUGCAAGCGUUAAUCGGAAUUACUGGGCGUAAAGCGCACGCAGGCGGUUUGUUAAGUCAGAUGUGAAAUCCCCGGGCUCAACCUGGGAACUGCAUUUGAAACUGGCAAGCUUGAGUCUCGUAGAGGGGGGUAGAAUUCCAGGUGUAGCGGUGAAAUGCGUAGAGAUCUGGAGGAAUACCGGUGGCGAAGGCGGCCCCCUGGACAAAGACUGACGCUCAGGUGCGAAAGCGUGGGGAGCAAACAGGAUUAGAUACCCUGGUAGUCCACGCCGUAAACGAUGUCUACUUGGAGGUUGUGCCCUUGAGGCGUGGCUUCCGGAGCUAACGCGUUAAGUAGACCGCCUGGGGAGUACGGCCGCAAGGUUAAAACUCAAAUGAAUUGACGGGGGCCCGCACAAGCGGUGGAGCAUGUGGUUUAAUUCGAUGCAACGCGAAGAACCUUACCUGGUCUUGACAUCCACGGAAGUUUUCAGAGAUGAGAAUGUGCCUUCGGGAACCGUGAGACAGGUGCUGCAUGGCUGUCGUCAGCUCGUGUUGUGAAAUGUUGGGUUAAGUCCCGCAACGAGCGCAACCCUUAUCCUUU